rnacentral:rRNA from 1 species
UACGAAGGGAGCUAGCGUUGUUCGGAAUCACUGGCGUAAAGCGCACGUAGGCGGACGUGUCAGUCAGGGGUGAAAUCCCGGAGCUCAACUUCGGAACUGCCUUUGAUACAGCACGUCUUGAGUCCGGAAGAGGUGGGUGGAAUUCCUAGUGUAGAGGUGAAAUUCGUAGAUAUUAGGAAGAACACCGGUGGCGAAGGCGGCCCACUGGUCCGGUACUGACGCUGAGGUGCGAAAGCGUGGGAGCAAACAGG